AGGUUUUCCCCAAUCCGCACCCCGCGUUCCCCAGCCAAUCCAUCCUCGCCUCGUCCCACUCCCGCACCAGCCACCACCCAAACCCUAGCCCACUUUUCCCUCGAUCCCCAGAACCUCUCCCGCCUCUAUCCCUCCUCCUCGCGUCACCACGGCCUCCACCCCGGAGCCUCGCCGCCGCCUGAUAAUACUCCUCCACCACGCUAGCCCCUCCACCUCACCUUCCUUCUUUUUGUUAUCCGCGCCCGUCAUUGAUGCCUGGUUCCAGAUCGGGCGCGGGUUAGGCGAGGUCGAUGGUGGGGUGAAUGGGCAGGGGAGGCGGGCGACAAGGGCAGGCAACAGUCGGCCCGUCGCGAUGUGGUGAAGCUACAGGGAAGAGGGAGGAGGUCGGCGACAGGGUGAAGGAGCAGGCCGGCCCUCAUGGAGGCAGCGCUAUCAGCCAGCUAGGGAGGCGGUCCGGCUCGCCUCUGCUAUGCCGUGAGCAGCGGCGCUACCUCGGCCUCGAGCCUCACCUCCUCUGCCAAUCUCCUGCCGCGAGACAGUGCCUUCCCACGUUCUCAAUCUGGCGUUACCGUGCAUGGUGGUUUCAGAUCGGGCGCAGGUCGCAGCCAUGGAAGUAAGGGGCAUGGUGGUUUCUGUGAUGUGUAUGGAGGAGCGGUGGAAGGUGAGGAUGACGGACAGGUGGGAAGGCGCAACAAGACUGGAGCUGCAACGCUCGCAUCAUGGUGGCGUGGAGCCGUCCAUCACUACCCAUCGACUCCAGUUUAGAUAUGUACAACAGUCGCCCCGUCGCGAUGUGGUGAAACUACAGGGAAGAGGGAGGAGGCCGGCGACAGGGUGAAGGAGCAGGCCGGCCCUCAUGGAGGCAGCGCUACCAGCUAGCUAGGGAGGCGGUCCGGCUCGCCUCUGCUAUGCCGUGAGCGGCAGCGCUACCUCUGCCUCCAGCCUCACCUCCUCUGCCAACCAUGGGAAAAUUUAGGGGAGACCCAAGGCGAGCUUCCCUCUGUUGCAUGCACUCAUGAUCUCUAAAUAUUUCUGUAGCCUAAAUGCCUAUGUACCAUGUAAGCAAGCCCAACCCAAUGCACAUCAUCAGCUUGAUGAAUGACCAAAUGGUUUGUUUUUCUUGCCAUAUAGACCAUUGACGGGUGUGCAGGAGCCCUUCUAAUUGGUGCUCUAUGUGUGUUUUCUUUUCUUUUGUUGCAGAAUAAUAAUUCGAGUGGAUGGCAAUGCGCCUUGUUGUUUAGCGGUAUGAUGGUCGGUGAAAGUAUGUUCUAUAUAUAUUGCAAGGAUCAUAAGAUGCUUUUACACAUGAUUGUGUGAUGCUCAGAGACAUUUUGCACAGUAGAAACUUCUUGUGAAGCUUGAUUUUAUUCAGAGCCAUAUGAUUUUUUUAUAGAAAAUGUGCAGAGUAAAAUGGACACAGCUUCUGGUACAUCUGAGCACCGACGACCACAAUGGGAUGGAUCAAGCAGCCAAGACUCAGAGUGUGGUCGGGCGGCGCCAUGGGGCAGAUCUGUGCGGUGCAAGGGGCGGUAGAUGUGAAACUGAAGCUUCCCCGCUAACUUCGAAGCAGUCAAUUGAGCAGAUGGACAUGACGCGAACCCAGAAGGGGGAGGCUCCUGAAUAAUUCAUAGGACAACAGCUGAAUAAUUGGAAGACUCAUUUUGUACACACAAGAUAGUACAGACAACAUAAUGCCUAGUCAUUUUUGAAUUAGGUUCAGAUAGAGUGAGGAUUGGUGCUGCCGCCCCUGGUAGGAGCCCAAUGUCCUAAUCGAACUACUGUCAUGGAGAGGGCAAUACGUGGAUUUGCUUCAGAUAUUGGAGACAACGCCAUUGUGCCGAAGCUCGGAACAAUCUUCGAUACAUUGGGUGAAGCAUACGAUUUUUACAAUCUGUAUUUAUGGGAGAAAGGAUUUGGCAUUUGAUAUGGUAAAAGUUGUCUGAAUGUCGAGAGGACGUGGAAAUCUAUUGUGGAUAAUACUGGUCUUGCCGGCGUUAGUGCCCUACUCUGAUAAGGCUGCUGCAGUCUGAACCAUUCAUUGUCUCGCACGUAUGCGCAGACGAUACACUGAUGAUCGCACAAGCACAUCAACGUGUACAGCAGGGAUUUGAUGAAGAAUUUGAGGCAGAACAAUGUGAACCCUGCUAAAGUGCACAACAUUAGGCAGUUUCUUUGGGUCGAUGGAGAAUGUGCCUUUCACAAAAAGAGCUUCAAGGAGCUUGUGUGGCAAAAUAAGCCGCGAGCAACCGGCUGAUGAUGUUAGUUAAACGAUGGAGGUGUUUGCGGAGCUUGGUUCAAAGGAUCCUCACUUCACAUAUCAUGUGCAGGCCGAUAAGGAGGAGAGGAUAAACGCACUCAUGUGUGUAAAUGGGGACAGUAGGCUGGUGCAAAAAAGACUGUAGCUUAUUCUCAAAUUUUCUGUCUCUAAUACUGAAUUUGGUGUGUACCGAUAAAUCAUGUAGCGCGUGAGAUCCAUCAUGCAGUUUAACUGCUAAUCCCAAUUAUGUUAUGCAUGCCCUGAAGCUGA